UGCCUUAAAACUUGAAAAUGCGUUUGC
rnacentral:piRNA from 1 species